rnacentral:rRNA from 1 species
GUGGUCGGGACGAUUAUUGGGCCUAAAGCAUCCGUAGCCGGUUCUACAAGUCUUCCGUUAAAUCCACCUGCUUAACAGAUGGGCUGCGGAGGAUACUAUAGAGCUAGGAGGCGGGAGAGGCAAGCGGUACUUAGUGGGUAGGGGUAAAAUCCGUUGAUCCAUUGAAGACCACCAGUGGCGAAGGCGGCUUGCCAGAACGCACUCGACGGUGAGGGAUGAAAGCUGGGGGAGCAAACCGG